GGGUGGUCCUAGGGGGAGGAGCAUCAGCACCCCGGGGCCCUGCUGGGAAAGCCAGCUCUCAGGCUCUGCUGAGACCUCCUGAAUUGGAACCUUAGGGUGGGCCUGGCCAUCGGAGUUUUAACAAGGCCUCCAGAAGAUUCUGACACUCACCAGAGUCUGAGAGACACAGCAGAGCUAGAACCCGGGCUCCAGUUUUCACCCAGGAGACAGGAGGAUUCUGGGUGGAAGGGCAUGAGGGACUGGGGUCCCCCCAGAAGGAGCGCCCCAGGACGAUGCCACACAAGGUGGACAUUCGCUCCUCCUGGGAAUGUUCUCUAAGGGUUCCUUGGACAGGAAAGUGGCUCUCUGAGCUGCCUGGCAUUGGAGAUGCUGGGGAGAGUCUUCAGAGACUGGAAAUGCUUGCCAGGAAGGAAGAACCACUUUCUGUCCUCCAUCCUCAGGAGCACAGAAGGGUGAAGCUGAGCCCACAGAGAGAAGCAUCUCAUGCUGUCUGCAGCGGCUGCAGCGCUCUCCUGGGGCAGGAGAUGCUCAAAGGUCAACAAGACUUUGAAAAGGGGCUGGGAGAAAAGCCCCCAGUGCUGGCUCUGGACUCACUAUCCCAGG
rnacentral:lncRNA from 1 species